rnacentral:rRNA from 1 species
UACAGAGGUCCCGAGCGUUGUUCGGAUUCAUUGGGCGUAAAGCGCGCGUAGGUGGCUUCGUAAGUCCGUUGUGAAAAGUCAAAGGCUCAACCUUUGAAAGCCGAUGGAUACUGUGAAGCUAGAGUACGGAAGAGGCGAGUGGAAUUCCUGGUGUAGCGGUGGAAUGCGCAGGAUAUCAGGAGGAACACCAAUAGCGAAGGCAGCUCGCUGGGACGUUACUGACGACUGAGGCGCGAAAGCGUGGGGAGCGAACAGG